GACAGAGGGUGCAAACGUUGUUCGGAAUUACUGGGCGUAAAGCGCGUGUAGGCGGCCCUGCAAGUCGGGUGUGAAAUCCCACGGCUCAACCGUGGAAGUGCACUCGAAACUGCAGGGCUAGAGUCCUGGAGAGGAAGGUGGAAUGCUUGGUGUAGAGGUGAAAUUCGUAGAUAUCAAGCGGAACACCGGUGGCGAAGGCGGCUCUCUGGACCGAGACUGACGCUGAGGCGCGAAAGCGUGGGGAGCAAACAGG
rnacentral:rRNA from 1 species